UUUUUUUUUUUUUUGGUUUUUAGGGCCUCACCCAUGGCAUAUGGAGGUUCCCAGGCUAGGGGUCGAAUAGGAGCUACAGCUGCCAGCCUACACCACAGCCACAGCAAUGCAGGAUCUGAGCUGCGUCUGCAACUCACACCACAGCUCUCGGCAAUGACAUACCCUUAACUCACCGAGCAAGGCCAGGGAUCGAACCUGCAACCUCAUGGUUCCUAGUCGGAUUCAUUUCCGCUUCGCCAUGACGGGAACUCCAAGAAACAGUAAAUAUUUUGCUAGUAAGCAACACUCCAAAUAUUAUAGUUAAUGAAAAGCCAAUGAAAAAUAACUCAACCAUUAAGCUCAAAAUAGCAAUAAACUAUUUAUAGUAAUAUCUUAUAAUUUGUAAUCUGUCAUUACAGUAUUAAAAAAACAUUUUCUAAAACUUCCAAAAAUUUGGAAAUAACUGUGACAUUAGCUCUUACUGUAUCAUCAGAUGAGAAGCUAUCUAUAUCCUUAUGAGUCCUAAGAACCUGGGAAGCUUACAUUAUUUGGAAAAAGGGCCUUUGCAGAUAUGACUAAAUUAAGGAUUCUGUGAUGGGGAGAUUAUCCUGGAUCAACAGGGGGGCCCUCAAGUGCCAUCAUAUGUGUCCUUAUAAGAGAGAGGCAAAAAAGAGAUUUCUCUCUCUCUCUUUCACACCCAAGAAAAGGUGCUGAGAAGACUAGAACUGAGGAAGGUUUGAAAUUCUGCUCUUGAAGACUGGAGUGAUGCAACCAGAAACCAAGGAAUUCUGGCAGCCAUCAGAAACUACAGAAGCAGCGAGGGAUACAGUCUCUUCUGGAGCCUUUGUCUUUUCAUUUUAUCUUUUCAGUGUCUGCACCUGCAGCACACGGCAGUUCCCAAGCUAGGGUCGAAUCAGAGCUGUAGUUGCUGGCCUAUGCCACAGCAACUCGGGAUCUGAGCCAAGUCUGUGACCUACACCACGGCUCACAGCAACACUGGAUCUCCAACCCACUGAGCUGAGGCCAGGGAUCAAACCCGAAUCCUCGUGCAUCUUAGUUGGGUUCGUAACUGCUGAGCCACAAUGGGAACUCCCUCUUCUGCAGCCUUUGGAGGGAGCACCCUGACUUUGGCCCAAUGAUACUGAUUUCAGAUGUCUGGCCUCCAAAACUGUGAGAGAAUAAACUUUUUUUUUCCCCCCACCUUUUAGGGCUGUGCCCACAGCAUAUGGAGGUUCCCAGGCUAGGGGUUGAAUUGGAGCUCCUGUAGCCUGGGAACUUCCAUAUAUCGUGGGUGUGGCCCUAAAUAAAUAAAUGAAAAUACAUUUUCAGAUAGUGAUAAAUGGUUUGCAGAAAAAAAAAAUUAAGGUAAUGGGAUAGAGGGAAAAGAGGAUGGUGCCACACUGACAGGGUGGUUAGAUAAUAAUCCUUCUCUGAGAAGAUAACUGAAUUGAAACCUGAAAUGAUGAAAAGGAGCCAGGUUUUAGGAAGAGAAUUCUGGGCAGAGAGAACAGUCCUAGGUCAGGAGUAAGCCAUGACACUUUGGGGCGGUGGGGGGGGCGGGGGGGGAGGACAGUGUAGAUGGAGUAUAGUGACAAGAGAGAAUGCUAAAGAAGUGGUAAAGGAGUAAUUGAUUUAAGAGGAAAAGGUGUAAAAUGGUAGAUCAUAUACAGGAAGGCAGUGGAAAGGAUUUGAGAAUAACUUGAGCUUUACGGUAAACUCACUACAUUGUCUUUCUCAUUUUGCUUUGCAUCAGUCGUAACUUUAACAGACUCUUAGAAACUAUUCUCCAAGCAUUAACACAAUGUUGAGGUUAGCCAGGAAUGAAUAUUUCCUAAGCAGAAGAGAACUCUUCUUGUAGAUUAUAAUUUUUUUUAAGGAAAAAAAUGCAAAGCCAUCUUAUACAAGAAGAAUCUGGGAUGACAGGAUGAUAUAAAUGACUUCAAAUUCUAUCCUGCUUACUAUAUACUGUGAAUGAAUCUACUAAAAUCAAAACUGUAUGAAGUUGUUAAAGAAGAAUUUAAGAUCUUUCCAAGCUACUGUAAACCUAACAUCCUUUGUUUGCUGAGUUCACUGUUACUGAACUGGACAUUAACAAUGUCAAAUACUGUCAGAAGAGAAAAUUAGAAACUAAACUUAUUUCUGACUUUACUGUACCUCCUGAGAAUAGAUACAGCUUAACGAUCAACAAAGCUGCCAGUUCUAAUCUUAUCUCUUUUAUUACAAUAAGGAAGAACUUCCCCUCGGUGGCGAAAUUAGGUACAAGGGAUGCUUGUACCAGUAUCUCUUUCUCUGAAAGCUUUUUAAAAUAGGAGACUAAUCAAUCAGCUUAAAGAGGUCUGAAUACAGUACACGUUGCAGAAGAGCAGUGUUCUCUCUAGAUCUUUCCAGACCACUAAUAUUUAUGUACACAAAGCACGUAACGGAAACCUGCAUGGCUUCUAAGAUUAAUAUCAGUAGAGUAAGAUCUUUGAAAGCUCUAAUUUAUUUAUGAAUCUCAUUUUUCACUAUGUUAGAUAUUUAGUUAGCCCACAGAGCUGUAGACCAGAAAGUAGACGGCGAAUAACACAAUCCAUAAAGAGUGGUAUUUUGUGAGUGUGCUGUGAGUUAAAGACAUAAAAGUCAUUUAGACGCCUUGAUCAAGACUUGAUUCUGAGUGCAUCCUCCUCAACACACUUCCAGCAGUUUGGCAAAGUGCCCAGGGAUGAUUAGCAGCCAUGUAUGGGGGGGGGAGAGCAAUACAGGGCUGUCAACCUAAAUUGUAAAGUCUCCCCCCAGUGGUCACAUACAAACAACAGGAAGACUAGGGAAAUCAUUGCAGCUUCUGUGAGACUGACCAAAAAUACUCUAUGCAGAACCUGGUCCCUACAACGGGAAAAAAAAAAAAAAA
rnacentral:lncRNA from 1 species